UUGGAGUGUCGUCGGCGGGAACUCGUAGCCAUUACACUACUUGCCGGAAUUGGGAAACCGAUCAAUGUUGGUAGCUUUUUUGCUUCGAACGGUUCAUUGUGGAUUUUAGCACUCCUUCCAAACUCACAAGCUCGAUCAAUUUCGUCUCCUGAUUUGGUUUUGGUUAAAAUCACCGUGUACCAUUGUUAGUAAACUGUCUUUGUAAAAUAAUUCUGGAAAUAUAAGUGAACAUAAACAGAAAUGAACAUAAACAAGAAUGAACUACGAAAUAACAAUAAGAGAUCCUCAUGCCAUGACAUGGUGUUCUCGGGCUAUGAAAACGGUGCCUCCAAACGAUGACGUCUUUGGAUGAGUUGGUGAUAUUUCAGCCCAUGAAGGAUGCAGUAGUAUGGACAAGACAGAGCUUAGUCUUGCGAAUUGAAGGGCAGAGCUUAGCCCGUACGAGAAGCGAGAUAAAUAGUGUUUGGGAUAGUGCUUAGUUUCGAAGAAAAUGAGAGGCAGAGCUUAGCCUCGGAAGGCAGAAUGAUAGCCUUAUGCAAUGCAGAUGCAAAUGGAGGUAGAGCUUAACCUCGGAAGACAGAAUGAUAGCCUUAUGCAAUGCAGAUGGACGUAGAGCUUAACUUCGGAAGGUAGAAUGGUAGUCUUAUGCAAGUUGGAAGGCAGAAAGGCAGCCUUAUGCAAUGCAGAUGCAGAUGGAGACAUCGUUUAGUCUCGGAAGGCAGAAUGACAGCCUUAUAAACGUAAUCUUCCUAUUGGAUUAUGCUUAUGCGACGUGCCACAAUAUUGACUUUGUAAUUGUACACGUUAGAACUCAGGAAAUUAUUGGAUUUGAUUCGAUAUAAUAUUGGAUAAGAAAGUGACUACUUGAACAUAAAUAGGGUUUUCCAUCUAUUAUAUGUGGAACAUAUUGGUCUAUAUCUUGUGACAUGAAUUUGAAAAGUUAGGUAUUCAGUUCGAAACAGAUGAAUGUCUAUUUGAAAUUUGAGCCUAAUUUUCAACUUGAGGCAAAAAAUAAACAAGUGUGCAUACAUCAAUGUAAACGUAAUCUUCCCAUUGGAUUAUGCUUAUGCGACGCGCCACAAUAUUGAUUUUGUAAUUGUACACGUUAGAACUCGGGAAAUUAUUGAAUUUGAUUCGAUAUAAUAUCUGAUAAUAAAGUGACUACUUGAAC
rnacentral:lncRNA from 1 species